CUUCCUGAAAGUUGUUUUCCUCCUUCCUCUUUUAAUGCCUGACAGUGUUUAUCUCUCUAUCUACUGGACAAUCCAGGAGUCAGAAAUAGAGAAGAGAGGAGGCCAAAAUGAGAAGAGCCACAGGGAGAUUGAGAAUGCAUCGUAUCAUAAACUGCUACACAGCUCAUGACAUGGGACGGAAACCCCGCGUGCCUCAUGAUAAAAUGCAUGGAAACAGCACAGGACACGUCUUGCAUGGCAAUACAACGAUGGCUGCCGUCGCAUAUAAGCUAUAUACUGU